rnacentral:lncRNA from 1 species
CCCAGAACUCUGAGGAUGGGGUCUUGGCCUCCUUUUUAGGCCAGCUGGCGACCACUGAGGUGCCUGGAGCCCAUGUGCAGCUUGUGCACAUGUGCAAGCCUUUCUUUCUCUGCCAUUGUCCGUGUCCCUCCCCCUCUGUCUGUCUGUCCCUCCCCCUCUGUCUGUCUGUCUGUCUGUCUGACUCUCUCCCUCUGUCUGUCUGUGUGUCUCUGUCUCUCUUGUCUCUGCCUUUCUUUCUCUGUAUUGUCUGUGUCCCCCUCUCCCUCUGUCUGUCUCUCUGUCUGUCUCUCUGUCUCUGCCUUUCUUUCUGUGUAUUGUUCAUGUACCCCUCUCUCCCUCUGUCUGUCUCUCUCUGUCUGUCUCUCUGUCUCUGCUUUUUUUCUCUGUAUUGUCCAUCUACCCCUCUCUCCCUCUGUCUGUCUGUCUCUCUCUGUCUCUCUCUCUGUCUCUGCCUUUCUUUCUCUGUAUUGUCCAUCUACUCCUCUCUCCCUCUGUCUGUCUGUCUCUCUCUGUCUCACCCAGACUUGGGGCCAGGCUUUAGCGAUCGUUCCUGACACUUCCUAGCUAUGUUUCUACAAUGAAGUCAUUUAAUGUCUCUGAGCUUGAGUCUUACCACCUAUAAAAUGGGUACCCCAAUCCCCAGAGUGCCUUCCUCCAAACUCUGUUCUGAGGCUCCAAUGAGCUAAUGAUGCGAAGUGCUUUACAAACCCAGAAUGUCAGCUAUCCCUGUUCCUGCUCUACAGAUGGCACCGGCUCACAGGUCCAGAGGAUGAAGGGCCCUCAGAGGCAUCUAGUCCAACCCUUUACCUCCUGGAGGAGGAAACUGAGGCAGAGUUGUGAAUGACUCACCCCAGGUCCCACAGAUAGUAAGGGUCAGAGGCAAGAUUUGAACCCAGGUUCUUUGGCUCCAGAAAUGGCUUAACUAUAAUAAUUUUAACUGGCAG